rnacentral:misc_RNA from 1 species
AGAGAUGUCACCACCCACAAGGGGACCUCCCCA